GCCCCUGUAGUUCAAUGGACAGAACUGCGGACUUCUAAGCCGUCAAUGUUGGUUCGAUUCCAACCGGGGGCA
rfam:Candidatus Taylorbacteria bacterium RIFCSPLOWO2_01_FTLL_45_15b rifcsplowo2_01_scaffold_7830, whole genome shotgun sequence.